GACGAACGCUGGCGGCGUGCUUAACACAUGCAAGUCGAACGGGCCUGUCUUCUUUUUUGGGGGGUGGGUUGAGUGGCGAACGGGUGAGUAUCACGUGAGUAACCUGCCCUUCGGUCCUGGAUAACCGCUUGAAAGGGCGGCUAAUACGGGGUGGUCCGGUUGGUCCGCAUGGGCUGGUCGGGAUAGAUUCACUGUUUUUGGUGUUUCGGCGGGGGAUGGGCUCGCGGCCUAUCAGCUUGUUGGUGGGGUGAUGGCCUACCAAGGCGGUGACGGGUAGCCGGCCUGAGAGGGUGGGGAGCCACACUGGGACUGAGAUACGGCCCAGACUCCUGCGGGAGGCAGCAGUGGGGGGUAUUGCACAAUGGGCGGAAGCCUGAUGCAGCGACGUCGCGUGAGGGAUGGAGGCCUUCGGGUUGUGAACCUCUGUUUCCGGUGGUGAAGGCCCUGUCCGUGUGGUGGGGUUGACGGUAGCCGGGGAUGAAGCGCCGGCUAACUACGUG
rnacentral:rRNA from 1 species